rnacentral:sRNA from 1 species
GAGCAAACCCAGGAAGGAAUAGACUGAGAGGAGGGUCCUCAUGUGAGGAGGACUCUCAGAGGCACUUCCUGGGGGUGGCUCAGGUGCGCCCUCUUAGUAAAAUGCUUCUCAGAUGCAAGGGCAGGUCUUUGAGUCAUGAUCUGUGAGCACAGCCAGUCCCAGGACAGACUCCGGGGUUAGUGCCUGGGGAUGGCAGUGAUCCAGCUGUCUGUCAGCACCUGGAGUGACAAGGUUUUCUAGUGAGGGCUUCUAGCAAGGCUCUGAGCACCAUGGCCCCCAUCCUCUGCCUCUCAGCAUGCUCACAGCUUGAUCCCCAGGCAGCCCUCACCUGCCUGGACCCUGCGCCUACCAGCUCCCUGCCUCCUACAGGCUGUUUGACGUCGGAGGCCAGCGAUCUGAACGCAAGAAGUGGAUCCAUUGCUUCGAGGACGUCACGGCCAUCAUUUUCUGUGUCGCACUCAGCGGCUAUGACCAGGUGCUCCACGAAGACGAAACCACGAACCGCAUGCACGAGUCUCUCAUGCUCUUCGACUCCAUCUGUAACAACAAGUUCUUCAUCGAUACCUCCAUCAUUCUCUUCCUCAACAAGAAAGAUCUCUUUGGCGAGAAGAUCAAGAAGUCACCUUUGACCAUCUGCUUUCCUGAAUACACAGGCCCCAAUACCUAUGAAGACGCAGCCGCCUACAUCCAAGCACAAUUUGAAAGCAAAAACCGCUCACCCAACAAAGAAAUAUAUUGUCACAUGACUUGUGCCACAGACACGAAUAAUAUCCAGGUGGUGUUCGACGCCGUCACCGACAUCAUCAUUGCCAACAACCUCCGGGGCUGCGGCUUGUACUGACCUCUUGUCCUGUAUAGCAACCUAUUUGGUAAUGAUUCCAGCACCCACAGAACAGCUUGCGUGCGCGCGCACACACACACGCACACACACACACACCACUAACAAAUGCAAGUUGGUAAAUAAACUUUAAAGAGGCAUAACAAAACCUUAUAUAUAUAUAUAUAUACAAAUAUAUAUUUAAAAAAUCUUUUUAGUUUGUACUAGAAAGAGCUGCGGACAGAACUGACCACCAUCCCAUAGCUCAUGGAGGUUUUCCUGGGAUGGCACCUGAGCAUGCACAUGUGUGUGAGUGUGUGUGUACACACACUCACACAUGUCCAGUUGGGAGCUUGGUUUGGGAGUCCCUCCUUUUGAGGAUAGCCCCGGGGUAUUCCUCUCAGCCCCAUUUCUGAGAGCAGGGGAAUGGCAGAACAGCCCUGGCCUUGGCCCAGCCAGCUCUCUGUGUUCCACCCUCAGAGCCUCUGCACCCUCAGUUCCGUCCUGCUCUUGGCAAAUUCCGGACCCUUUCAGAAAUGGCCAGUGCCCUAAGCCUCUCCUCGCUCUACACUCCCAACAACAGAACAAUUUAAGGAUGCUUCUCUUUCGGGUGGUGGUGGUUGUUAAUUUCAGGAAUUUAGAAGAAUCAUUGCUCCGACCAAUCCACUGUCUCCUGAGUUUUCUUUAUUCAUGUUAAGAUGGCAAGAAUCAGAGAACAGGGAGACUUGGUCUGCUUUCUAAAAGCAGCUGACAGGAGGGGACUCAAGUUCACCUGCAGAGUUGAAACCAGCCCCGCUCCAAGAGGGCAUGUGGGAAGGCGGGGAACGAGGGGAACAGGCGUGGCGGGGAGGGCCGGACUUGUGGGCCUGACCUGAGUCAGGGUCUCAGGGGGGGCCAGGCUUCCCCAGGUGCCCGGGAUGGGCUUCAUUGGGGUUCCUGACCGCUCAUGCUGCUGCCCCAUCUCGCCCCACCCCAGCAUUAGUCAAAAUGUUCUAGGGUUUUUUGGUUGGUUGGUUGGUUUUUAAAAUCAAAGAAAAUGGUCAGACUGGACCCCUUAUCUCUCUCUCUACAGACUGCUUCACGGACUCUUUGCUGUUGACGUUGAUCUCCUGGUAGCAUGACCUUUUGGCCUUUGUAAGACACACAGCCUUUCUGUAUCAAGCCCCUGUCUAACCUACGACCCCAGAGUGACUGACGGCUGUGUAUUUCUGUAGAAUGCUGUAGAAUCCGGUUUUAGUUGAGUCUUCACAUUUAGAAUUUGAAAGGAAAAAAAGAACAUUUCUCAUGUGCUUUGUAGCUUAAAAAAAAAAAAAGGAAAACUCACCAUUUCAUCCAUAUUUCUUUCUUUUUCUUGCAAAACAAACAUACCCAUCUGCACCGACGCCUGCCCCCGUCCCACCUCGCGGCGCAGCCCCUGGCGCUCCUACUGGGGAGCAGGGCCCAUCUGCCGCCUGGGGCUCCGGUGCGGUGCACUGGUCCGAGGAGUGUGCUCAGGCCGGGCUUUCCAGAAGGCCACAGGCCACUGCAAACCCUGCUGCCUGCCGGCCGCCCAGACACCACAGACGCCACCUGGCGGCCCUAAGCCACUCCCGCCACACGCUCACUCCAGGUUCGUAUAGAAAAAGCACAGCUCUCACUGGCCAGUAGCUGCCAGAAAGAAUACCCAUCGUAUAUGGAAAUCCAGCCCCAUAGAAAACAAUCUGCCCACCGACCCCCUUUCUACAGAUAGCCUUUGUAGGGGUUUUUUGGUUCCUUUUUUUUUUGUUCAGUUUUUGUUUUUAUUUUUGUCCUGCCGAGUAACUAUGUAUUACC